AUGUUUCAUCUGUUAAAGAAUGAAAAUUUAAAAUGUUAAAAUAUUCAGUUAACUUAAGUUAACAUUAAUUGACCCUUGAUAAAUAACACUGCCGUGCUGUGAUGUUAACAUCAUCACUGUGUGCAGGAUGACAUGCAAACAGCAUCUGUGUUGACAGACUUGCUGCUUCACUGCUGCUUGUCUCAUUGUCAGUCAGAGAGUGGAGCCAAACGGUCAUCGCCCAGAAGUGACAUUAAAAACUGCCCAUUUCAAAGCAUUUAUUUAACAAAAGUUAAUAUACUUAACAAUUUGUUAAUAACAUAAUAAUAAUUUCAUACAGACUGUUGUACUGUGAGAGGCGUAAAAUAAAUCAUAUUGUAUGUUUUCGCUGCUCUAGUUAUUUCCCCACCCAUGCUGCUGUCUGGACUGGAGCUUGCCCAGUUCCCAUUUUUAAACAUAGUGAGCGCACCUCGCAAACUUACAGAAAUCAUACAGGAACAAAUGGCAAGGGGUUCUCUGUCUUGAUUGGGGAUGAAAGAGGGAGAAAUGAAGAUGACACAGAUAGAUAUUUUAUUCAGGACCUGGAAGUAUUUAUUCAGCAAUCAGCGGUAAAAGGUCAUCCGUACGGAACGUUGUUGUGUAAGGAACAUGGUUGGUCUAUGUUACAAUAACUUAUUAACUUGUAAGUUAUUGUUAGAAGACAUAAAAUUCAUAUGUUAGAGUUUUUGCUUGCCUGCUGCUGCUUCUAAGGAGUUUGUAGCUAUAACUUAAAAGUUUGCGAUGUUGAAAUAAAUAGCAACUGGGUUAGGCCAAGGUUUACAAACUUUAAGCUAACGUUAGCAAGAGCAGGUCAUUUUAUGCUAACGUUAGCAGUCUCCAGCUUGUGUGUAACCUCACAGAUGCUCAAUGUUAAUUUUGGCAAACUUAGCUGUUAUUAGCUCUGUUAAAACAAAUAUAAAAUUAGCAGAAAUGUGUCUAGAGCUUCUAAGGCUUAGGUUGCUUUACUAAAUGGAUAAAGACAGGAGAUUGGAGGAAUGAACUCUGAGAGAGGGAAAUAUAGUGGGAUGGUAUGUGUGUGUGUGUGUGUGCGUGUGUCAGACCAAGCAAAGCAAGGUGUUGUGUUCGUCCUCUCUCAUGAUAAUGUUAACAUCAUGUAGUGUAUGAGAAUGAUGAUUUUAUUGUCUUGGUGCAAAACUGGUCUUGCUAUUCAAGACAACAUAAACCUAAAUUCUCCUUAUGUUUGCUGUCGUUGGACUUCAUGAUUGGUUAGGAUUGAGCAUUUUGGUUUGGUUUUAUUUAAAUAAAGUGCACACUGUAGUUUAGCAGAAGUGAUAGGCAGUUCAGUUGCAUUUCUGAUACAUUAUACCAUACAUAUCAUUGAGUAAAAUAAUAUACCAAUCCCAUAUGCUAUUUUUUCCUAUUUAACAUCUAUAAAAAUGUAAAAGAGUAACUCUUUUGUGCAGUACAAAAUAAUCACAUAGGUUUAUAUUGGCAUAUAAUGUUGAUACAGGUUAUUUUUCCAACAACAGAAAUAUAGAAACUGCCCUUUGCUAUAAUCUAGCUAAAGCUAAUUUAAAUCUGCUUGGAUUUGAUAGUUUGGUUCAGCUGAAUUCUCUGGCUCCUCCCUAAAAGCCUAUUCUUUCUGUCAGCUGCUUAGCCAACUGAAAUACCAGAAAACUGAAUUCCUGUAGUCUCAGUUUUUGCCUAUCACACAUAGCUGGUAGCAGCUUUAACAAGUCUGAUAAAUGACGUUGGAGAAAAGAGGUUGUACUUGAAUAAAAAAUGUAUUUCUUUACUGUGGCAGUAAACAUAAUGGACUGAAAAUGAAUUAAUAAAGUUGUUUGAGACAUAAUGGCUGCAUUCCAACACUAUAGUAAUACAUUCUUCAAGAUGGGAACCUCUGGGAGGUUUUAAAGUUCCUAUUAAUACCAUUUUUAUGCCCAUGACGCAAAUGAUUUAUCUGUCUACAUAUGUACCUGUAGUAACUGUAGUUUUCUGAUUGUAAAUAUAUUUUUAUUUAACUAUUUUGUAAAAUGUAACUCGGACAAGUAACUUGUGUACUGCUCCCCCUUUUAGGGAAAUCCAUCUUCUUACUCAGAAAGUGGAUCAAUUGAAUCAAUCAAUCAUCAAUGAAAUCAAUCAACAAAAAGGUUGAAGAGGUAAUUGAGAAGGUUCAUGCAUGUGGUGGAAGCAGCAGCACAGGCAUCACAAAGAUUCCCUUUGAGCUGUCGGUUCUGGACACUGCAUAAUGAGGAAGUAAGGAAAACUGUCAUCAGGGCAAUGGUAUGCAGCUCAUGAGAAGUGGGGGAAAAGCUUCUUGGAUGUGACGACAUGAAGGGAGCAGAUGCCAGUCUCAUGAGUGAUGAGAGUGAUGGGGACAAAGCUCUAUACGAAUGUUCACCAAAAUGGUGGGCACCAUGGCUGAUAAGGAUUGUAAUGUCCUGCCAGAAGGUGCUGGAUGGGAGGGACUGAAUCUCCGCUCCAUCCGUCACCAUGUUACGCCAGGACGGUAUUCUAAAAGAAUAGCUUCUGCAUCCAUGCAGGAAUAAGGAUGAGUACUGUGUUCCAGAGAGCGAGGAAGACAGGAUGGUUGCAGCUGAAGUUUUACAGCUUGUUAUUAUUGUUAUUGUUCUGCUUUUAUUCUCAGUUUUUUACUUAUUAUUGUUCUUCUACUGUUCUGCCAUUAUUCUAAGUCUUUUUUAAACUUUUGAAAUUGAAAAAAAUUGCAUAUUCAUAGAUUAUGUAUUUUUCAAUGAGGGAGAAUGAAUAGGUGUAAUUUAAAGGAUUUUUUAUGAUCAUAAUCUAUCAAGUCUCCUUGUAACUGACACAAAAUGUAAAUCUUACUGUUACUGUCAUACAGUUCAGGAGUAAAUAGGCUUUAGAUUCUAGAAGUGGUCUCAAUCCAGACUGAUAGCAGGGCAGGAAUGAAAGCAUUUAAUCAUAUCAUGGAAUAUUCACUACAAGGUUAUUAGUCAUAUAUGAAAGCAUCCUCCUCUCAAUAGACAUUUACAUAUAUGAAUCAAGAUAUGUAAGUAAAUUUACAAGAAGCUAGUUUUUUGUGUGCUUCAAAUAGCUAUUGAUCAGGAUAUGAGUCAUACACGGUGAGCAACCUCAGUAAUUUUCAUCAGGUUGUAAUUAUAUUUUUGAGAAUCCUACAUAUAUCUAUUAGUCAUAAAGUUUCCUUCUGUAUAAUACUUUCUGGUUAUGAACAUUAAGGCUGACCUAAUAUGAAGUAUAUUUACAAAAGAAAUGCUAUAUGUGGCUCAUAAUAGGACUGCAAGCCAUUCAAACAGUACAUUAACUCCACAUUUUAAUAGUAUCAAAGUGCUUCCAGCCCGGAGAUAUAAUCCAAACGUCAGUUAAAACCAGGGAGUAUAGUAAUUUUGAUCAGAUUUGAAUCAUAUCCUGGAAUAUCCAAAACACAGCUAUUAGUCAUAUCUCAAAGUUUCCUGCCAUGGAUACCACACGUAUAAUGCUUUCCAGAUAUUAACAUAUAUGGGGUGAGACAUUUUGGUAGUAUCAUGUGAUAUGCUCACGCCAGAAAUGUGAUGUGUCUGGCAUUCAAAAUACAGCACCAGUCAUAUCAGAGAAAUAUCUUAACUCCAUAUUCUGAUAGCAUCAAAGUGGUCCCAAUCCCAAUAUGAUCCAGAAAUAAGUCAUAAACUUUGAAUAUCCACAGUCACUUUGAUCAGAUUUGAAUCAUAUCUAUAAUUAUCCGACAGAAGGUAGGGAUUAAAGUUCUCCGUCGUUACGAUAGAUUUCUGUCAGAAUCCAUAGAGACCAUUUAUGAAAUCAGAGUAGAUCCGAGGAAAAGAGAUGUGGUGAUGGGGAGUUGUUGAGAGAGAAAGAGAGAGAGGUAACUUCCCAUUCAUCCUCUAUCUCAUUUGUGGACUUUGAUGUUGUAAAAACCAGAUGUUCUUCACUGACACACUCAGGAGCCAGUGGGAAUCUCAUAUCUCAAUGUUUCCUGCCAUGGAUCCCACACGUAUAACACUUUCGCGAGAUAAGUUAUGCUCCAGAUAUGAUCUUACAAUGCUGUGGUCGGAGAGUAUCUAACACAGAUUUCAUCAUACAUGGGUUAUAGUUCGAAAUAUCCGAACAAAACCAUCUCUGGAUUCUGGGGUAUUUUGCACAGUGCCCUACCUUUGGAGUGGUCAUAAAGUCUGAAUGUGUCCAUCCCUCAAUUAUUUAUAUUCCUUUAGUCUGUAAGGGUCCCGUGCCGCCAGAGGUGUUCAUGGUAGAGGCAGGACACCCAGCACAUCAGGCUCUCCUCAUGCUCCCCACGCAGCAAAACAGUGGUGGCAUUAGGGGUGGAGGAAAAAAGAAAAUCGAUUCUAAGAUGCAUCCCACUGCGGACGUGGAAGAUUCUGCAUCGAUUCACAAAUGUCAAAAAUUGAUUUUCUAAAUGUUAGUUAAUAAUGUGAUGUUCACAGUAUGAAAAGUCAGAACUCAAGCCUAUAGGUCUGUAAUUUUAUACAGGUGUGGUUGACAAAAUGUGGAAGUUACGUGGUGAUUUGCAUAGUUCUGGCAUAAAACAUGUCGUAAUUAUUGUUAUUCAAAAAUGACUUAUUAAAGACAAGGACCAAAAAACUUUUUUGAGCCAUGUUUGUAUUUAAGCCCAUGCUUGGCUAAAACUGUUUCUUCAGAAACUAGAAGAUGUUACCUUUCAA